rnacentral:rRNA from 1 species
GGAAGAGAUCAUUACUGAGUUUACGCUCUACAACCCUUUGUGAACAUACCUAUAACUGUUGCUUCGGCGGGUAGGGUCUCCGCGACCCUCCCGGCCUCCCGCCUCCGGGCGGGUCGGCGCCCGCCGGAGGAUAACCAAACUCUGAUUUAACGACGUUUCUUCUGAGUGGUACAAGCAAAUAAUCAAAACUUUUAACAACGGAUCUCUUGGUUCUGGCAUCGAUGAAGAACGCAGCGAAAUGCGAUAAGUAAUGUGAAUUGCAGAAUUCAGUGAAUCAUCGAAUCUUUGAACGCACAUUGCGCCCGCCAGCAUUCUGGCGGGCAUGCCUGUUCGAGCGUCAUUUCAACCCUCAAGCUCUGCUUGGUGUUGGGGCCCUACAGCUGAUGUAGGCCCUCAAAGGUAGUGGCGGACCCUCUCGGAGCCUCCUUUGCGUAGUAACUUUACGUCUCGCACUGGGAUCCGGAGGGACUCUUGCCGUAAAACCCCCAAUUUUCCAAAGGUUGACCUC